UACGUAGGUGGCAAGCGUUGUCCGGAAUUAUUGGGCGUAAAGCGCGCGUAGGCGGCCCUGUAAGUCCGUUGUGAAAGUCAAAGGCUCAACCUUUGAAAGCCGAUGGAUACUGCAGGGCUAGAGUCCGGAAGAGGCGAGUGGAAUUCCUGGUGUAGCGGUGGAAUGCGCAGAUAUCAGGAGGAACACCAAUAGCGAAGGCAGCUCGCUGGGACGGUACUGACGCUAAGGCGCGAAAGCGUGGGGAGCGAACAGG
rnacentral:rRNA from 1 species